GGAAUAACAAGUGCUCACGGGUUUUAAAAAAGGAAGCCCGGGCGGUUACGUGCAAGGAUGAUGCUCAACUGCACAGAGAGGCUAAGGCAGUACACAGUCAUUGAGCAGUCGGCUACCUCUUCAGCACCGUAGACUCCACGGUGCUGGUGUCAGGCUGUGGGGAUGUUUCUAAAGGUGGAGCCUCUGUUUGUAGAGCAUUUUUCCCAAAUGAGGAAAACUGGUCUGUGGAGGCACAUUAAUAACUUUGCAAACAUGGGCCCAUCAAAGUGCAUCAGAUGAGGACCCGCUGCCCUGGUGCCGGCCAGCCAAUCAGUGGAGACCACGCCCUGAAAGGACACACCUGGGAAGCUGCUGACUCUGCUAUAGAGAUCUUCCCCUGGGGCCUCCCUGAGAUCUCCACCCUAAGGCCUUA